rnacentral:rRNA from 1 species
GACAGAGGGUGCAAACGUUGUUCGGAAUUACUGGGCGUAAAGCGCGUGUAGGCGGCCAUGCAAGUCGGAUGUGAAAGCCCUCGGCUCAACCGGGGAAGUGCACUCGAAACUGCAAGGCUAGAGUCUCGGAGAGGAUCGUGGAAUUCCCGGUGUAGUGGUGGAAUGCGUAGAUAUCGGGAGGAACACCAGUGGCGAAGGCGGUUGCCUGGAGCUUUGCUGACGCUGAUGCGCGAAAGCGUGGGGAGCGAUCCGG